rnacentral:rRNA from 1 species
AUCCCCCUGACGGGCUGUAAUCGGGGCUUNCCUUCGGGACAGGGAGACAGGUGGUGCAUGGUUGUCGUCAGCUCGUGUCGAUGAGAUGUUGGGUUAAGUCCCGCAACGAGCGCAACCCUUGUCCACAGUAGCCAGCA